CAGACUCCUACGGGAGGCAGCAGUGGGGAAUAUUGGGCAAUGGGCGAAAGCCUGACCCAGCCAUGCCGCGUGUGUGAAGAAGGCUCUAGGGUUGUAAAGCACUUUAAGUUGGGAGGAAAGGGUUUAGAUUAAUACUCUAGAUCUGUGACGUUACCGACAGAAUAAGCACCGGCUAACUCCGUGCCAGCAGCCGCGGUAAU
rnacentral:rRNA from 1 species